rnacentral:ncRNA from 1 species
UUUUCAUCUCUGCUAGAGGCAAGAAAUAGCCGUAUAAACGGCACUGUUACCAAAACAGAUCGGCUUCUGACAGAUUAUCCAGCUGUACCCCUACAUAUGCAUCAAAGAAAGC